rnacentral:rRNA from 1 species
ACCUACGGGGGGCAGCAGUAGGGAAUUUUCGUCAAUGGGCGCAAGCCUGAACGAGCAAUGCCGCGUGAACGAGGAAGGUCUUCGGAUCGUAAAGUUCUGUUGAAGGGGAAAAAGAGCGGAGAGAGGAAAUGGUCUCCGAUUGAUAUUACCCUUCGAGGAAGUCACUGCUAACUACGUGCCAGCAGCCGCGGUAAUACGUAGGUGGCGAGCGUUAUCCGGAAUGAUUGGGCGUAAAGGGUGCGUAGGCGGCCUGCUAAGUCUGGAGUGAAAGGUACCGGCUCAACCGGUACCGGCUCUGGAAACUG